GCCCCCAUCGUCUAGUGGCCCAGGAUGCCAGAUUCUCAGUCUGGAGACAGGGGUUCGACUCCCCUUGGGGGUACCA
rnacentral:tRNA from 1 species